AUUGAACGCUGGCGGCAUGCCUUACACAUGCAAGUCGAACGGCAGCACGGGGCAACCUGGUGGCGAGUGGCGAACGGGUGAGUAAUGCAUCGGAACGUACCUUUCAGUGGGGGAUAACGUAGCGAAAGUUACGCUAAUACCGCAUAUUCUGUGAGCAGGAAAGCAGGGGAUCGCAAGACCUUGCGCUGAUUGAGCGGCCGAUGUCAGAUUAGCUAGUUGGUGAGGUAAAGGCUCACCAAGGCGACGAACUGUAGCGGGUCUGAGAGGAUGAUCCGCCACACUGGAACUGAGACACGGACCAGCCUCCUACGGGAGGCAGCAGUGGGGAAUUUUGGACAAUGGGGGCAACCCUGAUCCAGCCCUGCCGCGUGAGUGAAGAAGGCCUUCGGGUUGUAAAGCUCUUUCGUCCGGGAAGAAAUCGUAUGGGCUAAUACCCUGUGCGGAUGACGGUACCGGCAUAAGAAGCACCGGCUAACUACGUGCCAGCCGCCGCAGUAAGAC
rnacentral:rRNA from 1 species